GUGCCAGCAGCCGCGGUAAUACGUAGGGUGCGAGCGUUAAUCGGAAUUACUGGGCGUAAAGCGUGCGCAGGCGGUUGUGUAAGUCAGAUGUGAAAUCCCCGGGCUCAACCUGGGAACUGCAUUUGAGACUGCACGGCUAGAGUGUGGCAGAGGGGGGUAGAAUUCCACGUGUAGCAGUGAAAUGCGUAGAGAUGUGGAGGAAUACCGAUGGCGAAGGCAGCCCCCUGGGCCAAUACUGACGCUCAUGCACGAAAGCGUGGGGAGCAAACAGGAUUAGAUACCCUGGUAGUCCACGCCCUAAACGAUGUCAACUAGGUGUUGGAAGGGUUAAACCUUUUAGUGCCGUAGCUAACGCGUGAAGUUGACCGCCUGGGGAGUACGGCCGCAAGGCUAAAACUCAAAGAAAUUGGCGG
rnacentral:rRNA from 1 species